rnacentral:rRNA from 1 species
UACGAAGGGUGCAAGCGUUACUCGGAAUUACUGGGCGUAAAGCGUGCGUAGGUGGUUUGUUAAGUCUGUUGUGAAAGCCCCGGGCUUAACCUGGGAACUGCAUUGGUGACUGGCAGGCUUUGAGUGUGGCAGAGGGAGGUAGAAUUCCACGUGUAGCAGUGAAAUGCGUAGAGAUGUGGAGGAAUACCGAUAGCGAAGGCGACUACCUGGACCAGCACUGACACUGAGGCACGAAAGCGUGGGGAGCAAACAGGG